rnacentral:rRNA from 1 species
GACGAACGCUGGCGGUGUGCUUAACACAUGCAAGUCGAACGGCAAGGCCCUGCUUUCGUGGUGUUCUGGAUUGCCGAUCGCGUGCGUAUCACGUGAGCAUCCUGCCCUAGUCUUUGGUGUAACUUAAGGUAACGGGGGUUACUCCAGUACAGCAUCCCAUGUUGCAUGGUGGGCGUGGGAUAUUCUCGGCGGUUGGGGAUGGAUUAGCGGAUUAUCAGCUUGUUGGUGGGGUAGUGGCUUGCCCAGGCUUUGACGGGUAGCCGGCCUGAGAGGGUGACCGGCCACAUUGGGACUGAGAUACGGCCCAGACUCCUACGGGAGGCAGCAGUGGGGAAUAUUGCACAAUGGGCGGAAGCCUGAUGCAGCAACGCCGCGUGCGGGAUGACGGCCUUCGGGUUGUAAACCGCUUUCGCCUGUGACGAAGCGUGAGUGACGGUAAUGGGUAAAGAAGCACCGGCUAACUACGUG